CUCUCGCUAACCCGUGACCACAUAUGUUGUACCCGCGCGUCACCGCCUCUCCCCGCCCUCGCCGUCUUAUAAGGAAAGAGAGAGCCGGACUUUCCUCCCGUGUUUCGUUCUCUCCCGAUUCUUCUUUCUUGCUUGCAGUCUUUGGAGCGGAGCGUCGCUAGGGUUUAGGACUUCUUCUUCUUGGAUGGAGAAAUCGUCCGCGGCCAUGGCGGAGAAGGACAUGGAGCUUUUCAUGGAGGACGGCAGCGAUGGCAGCGUGGUGGUGAAGAGCGAAUUUGGGGAUGGCAGCGAUUGUGAAGAACAGGAGGAGGAGCCCUCGUCUCCGUUCUACUCUGGGAAAUGGCCCCAAAGCUACAAGGAAACAACUGAUUCUUUCACAAUCACUGCAACCCCCAGCUUUGGAUACCUUGGGUCUGCUUUGAGUCCUAGAUGCUCAAGUUUUGACCUUUGUGCUGAAGGUGGACUGAACUCAGACAUGAGAUUGCCUUUUAUAUCUGGUAGCACAUUCGAAAAGCAAGAAUCAGGUAAGAGCUUGAAGAACACUUUAGCAGCAGAUGAGCAUGUCUCUUUCCAUGUGCAGCAUACUGCAGAAGGGUAUAUUGAACAUCGUUGUAGCGUCACUCAAACUGUCUUUAAUGGAGUUAAUGUACUGGUAGGUGUUGGUCUUCUUUCUACUCCAUUAACAGUUAAAGAGGCUGGGUGGGCUAGUAUGAUACUCUUGGUUCUCUUUGCCGCUGUCUGCUUUUAUACGGGCGUUCUUAUGAAAUACAGUUUAGAGAGCAAAGAUGGCAUUUCAAGCUACCCAGAUAUCGGGGAAGCUGCAUUCGGGAGAUUUGGGCGCUUUUUUAUAUCUGUUGCAUUAUACACAGAAUUAUAUUCAUAUUGCGUGGAAUUUAUUAUAUUAGAAGGUGAUAAUCUCACAAGGAUCUUUCCUGGUGCUGGUUUUGAUUUGGCUGGGAUACACGUUGACUCUUUGCACUUUUUUGGAAUGUUGGCUGCUUUGCUUGUUUUACCAACUGUUUGGCUGCGAGAUCUUAGAGUCAUCUCUUACCUUUCAGCUGGUGGUGUGUUUGUCACUAUGCUGAUUUUCCUCUCAGUACUCCUUAUUGGUACCACGGAAGGAACUGGGUUCCAUCUGACUGGUAAUGCGGUGAAGUGGAGUGGUCUUCCUUUUGCUAUUGGUGUAUAUGGUUUUUGUUUCUCCGGACAUGCAGUGUUUCCCAAUAUUUACUGGUCAAUGUCUGAUCGCACAAAAUUCAACAAGGCAUUGUUAAUAAGUUUCACUCUGUGCGCAGCAAUCUACGGCUCUUUUGCCACCAUCGGAUAUCUCAUCUUUGGUGAAAGCAUACUCUCUCAAAUAACUUUGAAUUUGCCAAAACAUUCCUUUUUUGCAAAAGUUGCCUUAUGGACAACGGUGGUCAAUCCUUUGACCAAAUAUGCGCUAUUGCUAAAUCCACUAGCCAGGAGUUUAGAGGAGCUGCUUCCUGUGGGACCUGCAAAUGAAGUUUGGUGCUCCAUGUUACUUAGAACUGCUCUUGUCAUUUCAACAGUAUGCAUUGCCUUCCUUCUGCCCUUCUUUGUUGCAGUCGAUCAUGCCGUUUUGUGCAGGACUUGUGAUGGCUUUGAUUGGAUCCCUCCUUAGUAUACUUGUGGCAGUCAUAAUGCCAGCUCUCUGCUUCUUAAAGAUUGCAAGGAACAAAGCUACCCAUUUGCAGGUCAUUGUGAGCAUUGCAAUUGUUGCAUUGGGCAUUGUCAGUGCAGCCAUAGGAACGUAUUCUUCAAUAACACAGAUCACAAGUAGCUAUUGAGGUGAAAGCUUUCAGAAGCAGCUACUGCAGUAGAUACUUCAGCCGUUUCAAUUAAAUUUGGGUUGAAUAACUGUCUGCUUGAUGUCUUGGCAAGGGCAUCAUAAAAUAUAUGGCACUGUUGGCCUUUUUAUUAUGUAAAAGGAUGAGAGAUGAAAUAGAUAAUGCUAAACUAUAGAGUUUGUGACAUAAAUAAUUAGAAGUUGGUUUCUGAAAUUCA